rnacentral:rRNA from 1 species
GACAGAGGGUGCAAACGUUGCUCGGAAUUACUGGGCGUAAAGCGCGUGUAGGCGGACUGGUGUGUCGGAUGUGAAAUCCCCAGGCUCAACCUGGGAAUGGCAUUUGGGACUGCAAGGCUCGAGUGCGGCAGAGGAGACUGGAAUUCCUGGUGUAGCAGUGAAAUGCGUAGAUAUCGGGAGGAACACCAGUGGCGAAGGCGGCGAUCUGGGGAAGAUACUGACGCUGAGGAGCGAAAGCGUGGGGAGCGAACAGG